rnacentral:rRNA from 1 species
GGGGGGCCUACGGGAGGCAGCAGUGGGGAAUAUUGGACAAUGGGCGAAAGCCUGAUCCAGCCAUGCCGCGUGUGUGAAGAAGGUCUUCGGAUUGUAAAGCACUUUAAGUUGGGAGGAAGGGCAUUAAGCUUAAUACUGUUACAGUUUUGACGUACCGACAGAAUAAGCACCGGCAACUUG